UUAAGCGACUAAGCGUACACGGUGGAUGCCCUGGCAGUCAGAGGCGAUGAAGGACGUGCUAAUCUGCGAUAAGCGUCGGUAAGGUGAUAUGAACCGUUAUAACCGGCGAUUUCCGAAUGGGGAAACCCAGUGUGWUUCGWCACACUAUCAUUAACUGAAUCCAUAGGUUAAUGAGGCGAACCGGGGGAACUGAAACAUCUAAGUACCCCGAGGAAAAGAAAUCAACCGAGAUUCCCCCAGUAGCGGCGAGCGAACGGGGAGCAGCCCAGAGCCUGAAUCAGUGUGUGUGUUAGUGGAAGCGUCUGGAAAGGCGCGCGAUACAGGGUGACAGCCCCGUACACAAAAAUGCACAUGCUGUGAGCUCGAUGAGUAGGGCGGGACACGUGGUAUCCUGUCUGAAUAUGGGGGGACCAUCCUCCAAGGCUAAAUACUCCUGACUGACCGAUAGUGAACCAGUACCGUGAGGGAAAGGCGAAAAGAACCCCGGCGAGGGGAGUGAAAAAGAACCUGAAACCGUGUACGUACAAGCAGUGGGAGCACGCUUAGGCGUGUGACUGCGUACCUUUUGUAUAAUGGGUCAGCGACUUAUAUUCUGUAGCAAGGUUAACCGAAUAGGGGAGCCGAAGGGAAACCGAGUCUUAACUGGGCGUUAAGUUGCAGGGUAUAGACCCGAAACCCGGUGAUCUAGCCAUGGGCAGGUUGAAGGUUGGGUAACACUAACUGGAGGACCGAACCGACUAAUGUUGAAAAAUUAGCGGAUGACUUGUGGCUGGGGGUGAAAGGCCAAUCAAACCGGGAGAUAGCUGGUUCUCCCCGAAAGCUAUUUAGGUAGCGCCUCGUGAAUUCAUCUCCGGGGGUAGAGCACUGUUUCGGCAAGGGGGUCAUCCCGACUUACCAACCCGAUGCAAACUGCGAAUACCGGAGAAUGUUAUCACGGGAGACACACGGCGGGUGCUAACGUCCGUCGUGAAGAGGGAAACAACCCAGACCGCCAGCUAAGGUCCCAAAGUCAUGGUUAAGUGGGAAACGAUGUGGGAAGGCCCAGACAGCCAGGAUGUUGGCUUAGAAGCAGCCAUCAUUUAAAGAAAGCGUAAUAGCUCACUGGUCGAGUCGGCCUGCGCGGAAGAUGUAACGGGGCUAAACCAUGCACCGAAGCUGCGGCAGCGACGCUUAUGCGUUGUUGGGUAGGGGAGCGUUCUGUAAGCCUGYGAAGGUGUGCUGUGAGGCAUGCUGGAGGUAUCAGAAGUGCGAAUGCUGACAUAAGUAACGAUAAAGCGGGUGAAAAGCCCGCUCGCCGGAAGACCAAGGGUUCCUGUCCAACGUUAAUCGGGGCAGGGUGAGUCGACCCCUAAGGCGAGGCCGAAAGGCGUAGUCGAUGGGAAACAGGUUAAUAUUCCUGUACUUGGUGUUACUGCGAAGGGGGGACGGAGAAGGCUAUGUUGGCCGGGCGACGGUUGUCCCGGUUUAAGCGUGUAGGCUGGUUUUCCAGGCAAAUCCGGAAAAUCAAGGCUGAGGCGUGAUGACGAGGCACUACGGUGCUGAAGCAACAAAUGCCCUGCUUCCAGGAAAAGCCUCUAAGCAUCAGGUAACAUCAAAUCGUACCCCAAACCGACACAGGUGGUCAGGUAGAGAAUACCAAGGCGCUUGAGAGAACUCGGGUGAAGGAACUAGGCAAAAUGGUGCCGUAACUUCGGGAGAAGGCACGCUGAUAUGUAGGUGAAGUCCCUCGCGGAUGGAGCUGAAAUCAGUCGAAGAUACCAGCUGGCUGCAACUGUUUAUUAAAAACACAGCACUGUGCAAACACGAAAGUGGACGUAUACGGUGUGACGCCUGCCCGGUGCCGGAAGGUUAAUUGAUGGGGUUAGCGCAAGCGAAGCUCUUGAUCGAAGCCCCGGUAAACGGCGGCCGUAACUAUAACGGUCCUAAGGUAGCGAAAUUCCUUGUCGGGUAAGUUCCGACCUGCACGAAUGGCGUAAUGAUGGCCAGGCUGUCUCCACCCGAGACUCAGUGAAAUUGAACUCGCUGUGAAGAUGCAGUGUACCCGCGGCAAGACGGAAAGACCCCGUGAACCUUUACUAUAGCUUGACACUGAACAUUGAGCCUUGAUGUGUAGGAUAGGUGGGAGGCUUUGAAGUGUGGACGCCAGUCUGCAUGGAGCCGACCUUGAAAUACCACCCUUUAAUGUUUGAUGUUCUAACGUKGACCCGUAAUCCGGGUUGCGGACAGUGUCUGGUGGGUAGUUUGACUGGGGCGGUCUCCUCCUAAAGAGUAACGGAGGAGCACGAAGGUUGGCUAAUCCUGGUCGGACAUCAGGAGGUUAGUGCAAUGGCAUAAGCCAGCUUGACUGCGAGCGUGACGGCGCGAGCAGGUGCGAAAGCAGGUCAUAGUGAUCCGGUGGUUCUGAAUGGAAGGGCCAUCGCUCAACGGAUAAAAGGUACUCCGGGGAUAACAGGCUGAUACCGCCCAAGAGUUCAUAUCGACGGCGGUGUUUGGCACCUCGAUGUCGGCUCAUCACAUCCUGGGGCUGAAGUAGGUCCCAAGGGUAUGGCUGUUCGCCAUUUAAAGUGGUACGCGAGCUGGGUUUAGAACGUCGUGAGACAGUUCGGUCCCUAUCUGCCGUGGGCGCUGGAGAAYUGAGGGGGGCUGCUCCUAGUACGAGAGGACCGGAGUGGACGCAUCACUGGUGUUCGGGUUGUCAUGCCAAUGGCACUGCCCGGUAGCUAAAUGCGGAAGAGAUAAGUGCUGAAAGCAUCUAAGCACGAAACUUGCCCCGAGAUGAGUUCUCCCUGACYCYUURAGRGUCCUGAAGGAACGUUGAAGACGACGACGUUGAUAGGCCGGGUGUGUAAGCGCAGCGAUGCGUUGAGCUAACCGGUACUAAUGAACCGUGAGGCUUAACCUU
rnacentral:rRNA from 1 species